CAGAGCAAAAAAACGAGUUAUGAGGUAGAAGGCAUUGUCCGGAGAGUGAGAUUCUGAUGAAAGGCAGCAAAUUCUCGAUCUCGUCAGGAAGACCCUGAGCAGCUGCGGUUGAAACAGAAAGCCAAAGAGAUGCAGGAGCUGUUUCAGUUGAGAUCGAAGGAAGCUAACCUGAUGGCACUGGCAAUUGUCGGCCCCAGGAAGAUGAGGAAAAUGGAGGCUGCAGCUGCUGGAGCUGAGAACAUGUGCUAGUUCUGGAGCGUCCAGACAAUUUACCCGCCAGAGCAUCACUCGUGUCGACCCCAGGGACAUGCUCUUCUGUCUGGAGAAUGAGAGCGAGCCCAGUCACUCCCACUUCAUCGACAGAAGCUUCCUUAAAAAGACACCCCAUAGAGACAGACCGGAGAGCUGUCACUCUCACAUCCACUAUAGCAACUUCCUCAAAUAGAGAGCCCAGACAAAAAGGUAUCUACCCUAGAAUUGGAUAAGAGGGAUGGGACAGUGAUAAAUGGAUAUCAUGUUUCUCCAGGUCACAGUGAAUGGAUCUGACCAAAGUGAAUGGAACGUUUGUCUCCACUGUAUACUCUGGUUGUCCUUUUGUUCUCCAUCUAGUUCUACGCCUGACUGCUCCCUCUACACUCCACGUUCCCCCAGAGCAUUCCUGGGACUCUCACAUGUUCUAGGUUUUUAUAAAUGUUUUACUUACUUUUUUUAUUUUUUAGAAUUCCAUUGUAAUUAAAGUGUAAAGAAGUAAAUACAUGCAUUAUAUUAUUAUACAUUUUACUUAGAAGGCCAUUUUGUAGUUGCAAAUGACUGUUGUACACAUUCCAAGUAAUUUUACAAGUCUGUUUAUAUGUAACCAUGUUUUAAAGAAUGAAUCAGCUGUGUUUCUAAUGGUUAAGGCAGAGCAAAAUUCAGUUGGUGGUUCAGUAACCAAAAAAGGUUCGGAACCACUUGUCUACUGAGUUUCCUUCCUGACAAAAUAAGACGUAUUUGCAUCUGAUCUUAAACAGCACCGCAGGUACUCUAGUGACUCCUGCUGAAAUCUGACGCAGUAGAUUUUUGUCUCUUCAGUUUUAUGUUUGAGCUUAUCUUGAAUGGAUUUAACACCUGAUUUACUUAACAAAAGGCACAUCUCAAUAGGUGGUCCAGGUAUCCUCAUGACAUGCGUCAAGUAAGGGGGGGUGGCCUCUUUUUGUUUUCUAUUGCUCCUCAAAUAAGGACAGAGGCCGAUGACAUCAGUCACCAUCAGAGCAACUCCUUUUAAGUGUGCAGUCGUGUCUAAACAACACUAUUUUACUUAACUUUUUUUUUUUUAAAUUACCGUUUAACGUGUGUACUUUUACUGCAUUUAUACUAAUGGGAUAUCGCUGUUCAACAGGAAAAGUUACAUCACAAGAGGACGUCUUUAAGGACUGCAUGUAUUCUAUUACCCUUUUCUCAAAUAACUUAUUCGUGGGGAUAAUGUUCUAUUCUAAACCUCAAAACAUGCAAACGUUGUACCUUUUUCUAGUGAGAUUCUGAUAUUUAAUAUUAGUGUGAACGAGGAUGUUAUGCUUUUUAAAGCUUUCCUAUCUGCUCAAUAAUCGGUGCUUCUGUUCUGAUGCCUCAUUGGACAGCCCUAGGUAGAGCUCUGCAUUUUUUUUCCAGAUCACUUUGAUUUUAGAUGCAGAUUGUUCAAUACCUUUUUAUAUUUGUCUCUUCCAAAGAAAUAAAAGUAAGAGGGGGGGGGGGGGGGAUUGGAAGCAUAGCAUGUCUCCCUUAGUUUGAGUACAUUUUGCACAGACACUUGUUCAUAUGUAAAUAUUUUAUCUAAAGUGUUUAACUGCAAUGGUUUUGUUUAGAAUUGGAAGAGAAUAAACCCCUUCAAUAAAAGUGGACAAAAUAUG